GCCGGCUUUCUUCUCAGAAUAUUUCUCAUCCCCAAAUUAAAAGCCCUAGUCAAGGCUGUCGUUCUUCUCUUUCGCGGCUCCCGUUCACCACCCCACCUCCGGUAAGCUCUCUCUCUCUCUCUCUCUCUCAUAUUCUAGUUUCUAGAUUCUAUUUGCAGAAUGACCUCAAAAUCAAUCUGAUUGAUCGGCACGACAUUUCCCGCCACAAAGUGAAUAGGGUGAUUAAUAAAUCUUUUAUAUAUUUUGAGUCUAGAAUGCAGUCAAUUGUUGAUGGAGAACUUCGACCAUAUUUGUGCAGGUGGAAACAAUUCAGAGGCAAGAGGCUCAGGAAACUGAACGCCAGUGAAGCGAAUUACACAAAGGCAAAAAAAAAGAAGAAGAAAACUGACCUCUGCUCAUGCGGCUGCUAAGGGAAGGAUAAUUUGAUGGUUAGUGAAAAUUCUAAUGUAGUUUUUUAAUGAAGUGAUAAAUCUAGGCAAAUUGGUAGUUGUAUUAACUAUGGAGAUUGAGCAAAAUAUGAACUGAUUAGUACACCAACUAUUCGAUGAAAUGUAGGUUACCAAUGGUUGCCUUAAAGCUUACAAAAUACAAACUGAUCUUCCAUAGAGGAGAAGGUAAUGUAGAUUUUUGUGAACCUUAUAUAAUCAAUUGAUAGUUUAGCUUGCAAAUUUCGAAUGCUUGUAACUAUGUUAUGCUAUAUUUCCUUGAAUGAAAUUCUUGUUCUUGAACCUUGCAGUAGUUUUGAUUUUCCGAUUAUCACGAAGAUAUUUAAUGUUUGUGAACUUCUUGUUUCUUCUGUGAACUGUUGCAGGUAAUUGAUGAGGUAUAUGAUGAAUAAUCUGAGGUUGCUGACCGUCUACGGAUUAGGGUAAGAUAUUUCACUAGCUUUCCUCUAAUAUUCUAUAGAGGGUAUUUGUGGAUAGCAAUAAAUAUGAGUUUCUAUAAUUAAAUGGCCAGGGAAGUAUUUUCUUAUCAAUUUCUUUCGUUAUUUUAUAGAUUCAUUAUUCUUAACUAGUAAUUACAUUACAUAAGAUAUAAUAAUGCUUUGAUUUUAUUUUUUGCUACUCAUUUGGUGUUCCACAGUAUAUGGCAGAGCUAGGUUGUGAAUUCGAAGUUUUCAGAAACGAUGAGCUCACUGCUGAUGAGCUUAGAGAGUAAGCUUCUUCUUUUUUCUUCGUUGUUUGUUCAAUAUUUCUUCUCCAGCAACCUACAUCAUUUAUUGUAAUGAAAAAUAAAAUAAAAAUUACAGUGUUUGAUUAUUUUGGGGGAAAAUGUGAUGAUCGUUUUGGCUUAGUUGAUAGAAGAAGCACGGGUUUUGAUUUUGUGGUGUUAGUUAGGAGCUUUUGCAAUUUGUUAGAUGUUUCCUACAUUGUUACUUGUUACAUUGACAGAGCAUUUAGAUGCAUGUUCGAGUUAUGUUUGUUUUAAUCGUAUCAUGAGAUGCUAUCAAGCUAACAUUGUCUUCUUGCUUUCUAGAGAGUAAUUGGAUUCAUAAUUUCUGUUAUAAUCAAAAACUGAAAAGAAAAUGCUAAUCGAUUAUGGAUGUUUGACAGUUGGUUUUUGAUAUGAAUCUACGCUGUGCCUUAGAAUAACAAGAACUAAUUGUUAUUUCCAUUGAGUGAUGAUGUUCUUUAGGUUCUGCGGUCUGUUUUUUUUUCUAUUGCAUGACCUUGCAGUUUCUCGGAUUCAGUUAGAAGUAGGUGCUCUGUUUUGUGGAAUCUCGAUGUUGCAAUUGUUGCUUCUGAUGAAGAUAGUUGGCCUUCUUUCUCUCAGUGUAAGGAAUGCAUAUAUCAUUAACAUUGGUGUAUUGGCAUAUUAUUUUUCUCAAAGAAUGUAUUUGUUGGUGACUGUGGCUGUUCAUUUUUAAAUGUGGGAUAUGCAGAAUAUAAUGACUCUAUUUUCAGAUAUAGGCUGCAAAAAAUUAUUGUUCUUAAUACAAUUUCCCUCCUUCUGGAUGGUGGUAUUAGAUUGAAAAAGUUCUACAGAGUGUUUGACCUUGUUGUUUAUGUGUUAGGUUAGUCAUCUUAUCUACUAUGUCUUGUGUUCUUGUAUAGCACCUCUGUGGGCCCCAAAUUGGUACGAGUGAAAAGCUGGAGUUUCAUUUGGCUUUGGUGGGAAGCUUGUUUCAUUUAAUUUUGUCGAGUCUCCUACAUUCUAGUUCUAGACUUGGUAGCGUCAAUAUGCAUCAGGUUAUUAAUUACAGCAUGCGUGGUUACUCUUUAAUUGGCGAAUGGGAAAUAAAAAUAAUAUUUUUUUUUAUUAAAAAAUACUCAUUACCGAGGGAUUACCGAGGGAUUUUUCCCUCGGUAAAAAUGUCGUCUUAUUUUCUCGCCUAUUUACCGAUAGAAAACUUCCUCGGCCAUCUCUCGGUAAAUUUUACCGAGUGAAAUUUUCCCUCGGUAAAAUUUUACCGACAUUGAAAUUAACGACGUCUAUCUUUUAUCGGUAAUCUCUCGGUAAAUUUAAUUACCGACGGUUAUGUUAGAUUUACCGAGGGAAAAAUCCGUCGGUAAAAAAUUGUUUUUUUGUUGUGUUGAGGCACUGUGUUGCAUUUUUGCACUGGAGUAGUGUGUAACUGAUCAAUUUUGUCCAUCUAGUAGAAUUUUUCCAAAUUCUGGUAUCGCCAUUACAUUCAUGCGAAGAGGGGGUAAACUCUAGGGUUUCGAAUUUUAGUUGUCUCCCCCUCUGUAAAAUCAACUGCCACUCCCUCUGCAUAUGGCGAUAAUCAAACUUGUUUUAGCUUCGUAGCGGAAAAUUGAUUGGCUUUUCCACUUGAGUAUUUUGCGUCUUUGCUCAGAGUGUUUGUACUAUUGCAUCUGCAUCAGAUAUCUCUACGUUCUAAUUUUGCUUAUUUCUUCUUUUCGCUUCUUCUCUUUUCUUUUUCUUUUUCUUUUGUUUUGUCCUCUUCUAUUCAAAUUUAAAUAUUUUCUUUCUUAUAUAUAUAUAUAUAUAUAAAACAGAAUUAUACAAUGGAGUUGUUAAAUUAGGAGGACCAAUUGAGCAAUUCUACAAACAAAAACAAGUGUGAUAGCAACUCUACAACUGAAGCUAAUUCUUUAAUUAUCAUUGUUUUAGGUUGGACUCAUGCAAUAAUACAAUUUUAUAUGCAAAUUCACUGAGGUUUUUGAGGAUUUUUAUAAGAAACCAUAUGUAUAUAAUUAGAUCAACUAGGAUUUUGUAAAGAUAGAGCGAAAGAUCAAAUUAUUACCCAACGACAUAUGCAUAUUGCAGCCUAAAUUAAUUAACACAAUAACUCAAAAUUAGUCAUUGGGCCAUAACCUUUCUCUGUGUUUCCUGACGAGGACUCAGCAAUGAAGGCAAUACUCUUAUUCUUCUCCAAUUUGUUGGGACGCAUUCCCAUCUCAAAGGUACGAAGGGGCCCAAUUAGUUCAUGGAGAGACAUGUCAGAGAGUCUUCUGGCUUCCUCAAAGACAGUGGUCUUGACAUCAUAUUUUUCGAUCAAAGAUCUAUGAUCUUUCAAACGAGUUUGUUCUCGAGAGUCUUCUCAUCGUGAUAGUCAGUGAUACUCUCAUUGUCCUCAAUCUUCAGCAGCUCAAGUUGAGUAGUAUGUUGUUGAAUUCUUGAGCUUUUAACACGUCCAUUCCCUUCAUACGUGUUUUGAAUAACAUCUGAUGCUUCUUUGGCACUUUAACACAUCGAGAUUAGGGUGAAAAAAGUUGGUACAAGAUGCAAAUUAUAGUAUUUUCAAAACUAGUUGAAAACUUAAUUAAGAAGCAAAAAAACGAGACACAUAUGAGAAAUUAAUUACAGAAAAGCAAUAGAAAUUAUAUAGUUUUGAGCACAUGAUAGAGAGUGAAGUCCCAUGAUCUACUGCGGAUUGGGAGGUCGACUAUUAGCAGCAGAAACACGAGAUCCCCAUUCNAUCUAGGCAAAUUGGUAGUUGUAUUAACUAUGGAGAUUGAGCAAAAUAUGAACUGAUUAGUACACCAACUAUUCGAUGAAAUGUAGGUUACCAAUGGUUGCCUUAAAGCUUACAAAAUACAAACUGAUCUUCCAUAGAGGAGAAGGUAAUGUAGAUUUUUGUGAACCUUAUAUAAUCAAUUGAUAGUUUAGCUUGCAAAUUUCGAAUGCUUGUAACUAUGUUAUGCUAUUAUUUCCUUGAAUGUAAAUUCUUGUUCUUGAACCUUGCUAGUAGUUUUGUAUUUUCCGAUUAUCACGAAGAUAUUUAAUGUUUGUGAACUUCUUGUUUCUUCUGUGAACUGUUGCAGGUAAUUGAUGAGGUAUAUGAUGAAUAAUCUGAGGUUGCUGACCGUCUACGGAUUAGGGUAAGAUAUUUCACUAGCUUUCCUCUAAUAUUCUAUAGUGGGUAUUUGUGGAUAGCAAUAGAUAUGAGUUUCUAUAAUUAAAUGGCCAGGGAAGUAUUUUCUUAUCAAUUUCUUUCGUUAUUUUAUAGAUUCAUUAUUCUUAAUUAGUAAUUACAUUACAUAAGAUAUAAUAAUGCUUCGAUUUUAUUUUUUGCUACUCAUUUGGUGUUCCACAGUAUAUGGCAGAGCUAGGUUGUGAAUUCGAAGUUUUCAGAAACGAUGAGCUCACUGUUGAUGAGCUUAGAGAGUAAGCUUCUUCUUUUUUCUUCGUUGUUUGUUCAAUAUUUCUUCUCCAGCAACCUACACAAAAAUAAAAAUUACAGUGUUUGAUUAUUUGGGGAAAAUGUGAUGAUCGUUUUGGCUUAGUUGAUAGAAGAAGCACAGGUUUUGAUUUUGUGGUGUUAGUUAGGAGCUUUUGCAAUUUGUUAGAUGUUUCCUACAUUGUUACUUGUUACAUUGACAGAGCAUUUAGAUGCAUGUUCGAGUUAUGUCUGUUUUAAUCGUAUCAUGAGAUGCUAUCAAGCUAACAUUGUCUUCUUGCUUUCUAGAGAGUAAUUGGAUUCAUAAUUUCUGUUAUAAUCAAAACUGAAAAGAAAAUGCUAAUCGAUUAUGGAUGUUUGACAGUUGGUUUUUGAUAUGAAUCUACGCUGUGCCUUAGAAUAACAAGAACUAAUUGUUAUUUCCAUUGAGUGAUGAUGUUCUUUAGGUUCUGCGGCUGUUUUUUUCAUGCAUGACCUUGCAGUUUCUCGGAUUCAGUUAGAAGUAGGUGCUCUGUUUUGUGGAAUCUCGAUGUUGCAAUUGUUGCUUCUGAUGAAGAUAGUUGGCCUUCUUUCUCUCAGUGUAAGGAAUGCAUAUAUCAUUAACAUUGGUGUAUUGGCAUAUUAUUUUUCUCAAAGAAUGUAUUUGUUGGUGACUGCGGCUGUUCAUUUUCAAAUGUGGGAUAUGCAGAAUAUAAUGACUCCAUUUUCAGAUAUAGGCUGCAAAAAAUUAUUGUUCUUAAUACAAUUUCCCUCCUUCUGGAUGGUGGUAUUAGAUUGAAAAAGUUCUACAGAGUGUUUGACCUUGUUGUUUAUGUGUUAGGUUAGUCAUCUUAUCUACUAUGUCUUGUGUUCUUGUAUAGCACCUCUGUGGGCCCCAAAUUGGUACGAGUGAAAAGCUGGAGUUUCAUUUGGCUUUGGUGGGAAGCUUGUUUCAUUUAAUUUUGUCGAGUCUCCUACAUUCUAGUUCUAGACUUGGUAG
rnacentral:lncRNA from 1 species